rnacentral:rRNA from 1 species
UGGGGGAUAUUGCACAAUGGGCGAAAGCCUGAUGCAGCGACGCCGCGUGGGGGAUGAAGGCUUUCGGGUUGUAAACCGCUUUCGCUAUCGAACACGGCCCGCUUAGGGUGGGUUGAGGGUAGGUGGAGAAGAAGCGCCGGCUAACUACGUGCCAGCAGCCGCGGUAAUACGUAGGGCGCGAGCGUUGUCCGGAAUUUUUUGGCGUAAAGGUCUUGUAGGAGGCUUGUAGCGCCUGGUGUGAAAACGCGGGGCUUAACUUCGCGCGUGCAGUGGGUACGGGCAUGCCGGAGUGUGGUAGGGGUGACUGGAAUUCCAGGUGUAGCGGUGGAAUGCUGAGAUAUCUGGAGGAACACCGAUGGCGAAGGCAGGGCAGUGGGCCAUUACUGACGCUGAGGAGCGAAAGCAUGGGUAGCGAACAGG